rnacentral:rRNA from 1 species
GACGAACGCUGGCGGCGUGCUUAACACAUGCAAGUCGAACGGAAAGGCCCCUUUGGGGGUACUCGAGUGGCGCACGGGUGAGUAACACGUGAGUAACCCGCCCUUGACUUCGGGAUAACUUCAGGAAACUGGGGCUAAUACCGGAUAGGAAUCCUUGCUGCAUGGUGGGGGUUGGAAAGCUUCGGCGGUUUUGGAUGGACUCGCGGCUUAUCAGCUUGUUGGUGGGGUAGUGGCUUACCAAGGCUUUGACGGGUAGCCGGCCUGAGAGGGCGACCGGCCACAUUGGGACUGAGAUACGGCCCAGACUCCUACGGGAGGCAGCAGUGGGGAAUAUUGCACAAUGGGCGGAAGCCUGAUGCAGCAACGCCGCGGGCGGGAUGACGGCCUUCGGGUUGUAAACCGCUUUCAGCAGGGGCGAAGCUUGUGGUGACGGUACCUGCAGAAGAAGCACCGGCUAACUACGUG